GCAAAGUGCCAUAUCACCCUGCAGCUCUUGCCUGGUGUUGCUCUGAAGCUAAGCAGGGUUGAGCCUGGCCAGUACCUGGAUAGAGACCUUAUGGGGGAAAACUAAGGUUGCUGCU
rnacentral:rRNA from 1 species